rnacentral:misc_RNA from 1 species
UCCGUGUUAACCACGGCAGUCUCUUUAGAGUGCCCAACUGAAUGCUGGCAACUAAAGACAAGGGUUGCGCUCGUUGCGGGACUUAACCCAACAUGUCACCACACGAGCUGACGACAGCCAUGCAGCACCUGUCUUCUGGUCGUAUUGCUACGAAGACCGUAUCUCUACGGCUGUCCAGAGAUGUCAAACCCAGGUAAGGUUCUUCGCGUUGCUUCGAAUUAAACCACAUGAUCCACCGCUUGUGCGGGCCCCCGUCAAUUCCUUUGAGUUUUAGUCUUGCGACCGUACUUCCCAGGCGGGGUACUUAUCGCGUUAGCUCCGGCUCGGCAGGGGUCAAGACCCACCAAGCCUAGUACCCAUCGUUUACGGCGUGGACUAC